ACGAACGCUGGCGGCGUGCUUAACACAUGCAAGUCGAACGGUGAACUUGGGAGCUUGCUCUUGGGGGAUCAGUGGCGAACGGGUGAGUAACACGUGAGCAAUCUGCCCUUGACUCUGGGAUAAGCGUUGGAAACGACGUCUAAUACCGGAUACGAACUUCCCCGGCAUCGGGAGGAGUUGGAAAGAAUUUUGGUCAAGGAUGAGCUCGCGGCCUAUCAGCUUGUUGGUGAGGUAAUGGCUCACCAAGGCGACGACGGGUAGCCG
rnacentral:rRNA from 1 species